rnacentral:rRNA from 1 species
AUUGAACGCUGGCGGCAGGCCUAACACAUGCAAGUCGAACGGUAACAGGAAGAAGCUUGCUUCUUUGCUGACGAGUGGCGGACGGGUGAGUAACGUCUGGGAAACUGCCUGAUGGAGGGGGAUAACUACUGGAAACGGUAGCUAAUACCGCAUAACGUCGCAAGACCAAAAAGGGGGACCUUCGGGCCUCUUGCCAUCGGAUGUGCCCAGAUGGGAUUAGCUAGUAGGUGGGGUAACGGCUCACCUAGGCGACGAUCCCUAGCUGGUCUGAGAGGAUGACCAGCCACACUGGAACUGAGACACGGUCCAGACUCCUACGGGAGGCAGCAGUGGGGAAUAUUGCACAAUGGGCGCAAGCCUGAUGCAGCCAUGCCGCGUGUAUGAAGAAGGCCUUCGGGUUGUAAAGUACUUUCAGCGGGGAGGAAGGGAGUAAAGUUAAUACCUUUGCUCAUUGACGUUACCCGCAGAAGAAGCACCGGCUAACUCCGUG